rnacentral:rRNA from 1 species
GCGAGUGAAGCGGUAACAGCUCAAAUUUGAAAUCUGGCCUCACGGUCCGAGUUGUAAUUUGUAGAGGAUGCUUCGAGCAUGGUCUGGCCUAAGUUCCUUGGAACAGGACGUCAUAGAGGGUGAGAAUCCCGUAUGCGGCCAGGUGCCUACGCUCAUGUGAAGCUCCUUCGACGAGUCGAGUUGUUUGGGAAUGCAGCUCAAAAUGGGUGGUAAAUUUCAUCUAAAGCUAAAUAUUGGCCAGAGACCGAUAGCGCACAAGUAGAGUGAUCGAAAGAUGAAAAGCACUUUGGAAAGAGAGUUAAACAGUACGUGAAAUUGUUGAAAGGGAAGCGCUUGCAACCAGACUUGCGCGCGGCCGAUCAUCCGGUGUUCUCACCGGUGCACUCGGCCGUGCUCAGGCCAGCAUCGGUUUUGGCGGCUGGAUAAAGGCCCUAGGAAUGUAGCUCCUCUCGGGGAGUGUUAUAGCCUAGGGUGCAAUGCAGCCUGCUGGGACCGAGGACCGCGC